AUACAGGGUGACAGCCCCGUACACAAAAAUGCACAUGCUGUGAGCUCGAUGAGUAGGGCGGGACACGUGGUAUCCUGUCUGAAUAUGGGGGGACCAUCCUCCAAGGCUAAAUACUCCUGACUGACCGAUAGUGAACCAGUACCGUGAGGGAAAGGCGAAAAGAACCCCGGCGAGGGGAGUGAAAAAGAACCUGAAACCGUGUACGUACAAGCAGUGGGAGCACGCUUAGGCGUGUGACUGCGUACCUUUUGUAUAAUGGGUCAGCGACUUAUAUUCUGUAGCAAGGUUAACCGAAUAGGGGAGCCGAAGGGAAACCGAGUCUUAACUGGGCGUUAAGUUGCAGGGUAUAGACCCGAAACCCGGUGAUCUAGCCAUGGGCAGGUUGAAGGUUGGGUAACACUAACUGGAGGACCGAACCGACUAAUGUUGAAAAAUUAGCGGAUGACUUGUGGCUGGGGGUGAAAGGCCAAUCAAACCGGGAGAUAGCUGGUUCUCCCCGAAAGCUAUUUAGGUAGCGCCUCGUGAAUUCAUCUCCGGGGGUAGAGCACUGUUUCGGCAAGGGGGUCAUCCCGACUUACCAACCCGAUGCAAACUGCGAAUACCGGAGAAUGUUAUCACGGGAGACACACGGCGGGUGCUAACGUCCGUCGUGAAGAGGGAAACAACCCAGACCGCCAGCUAAGGUCCCAAAGUCAUGGUUAAGUGGGAAACGAUGUGGGAAGGCCCAGACAGCCAGGAUGUUGGCUUAGAAGCAGCCAUCAUUUAAAGAAAGCGUAAUAGCUCACUGGUCGAGUCGGCCUGCGCGGAAGAUGUAACGGGGCUAAACCAUGCACCGAAGCUGCGGCAGCGACGCUUAUGCGUUGUUGGGUAGGGGAGCGUUCUGUAAGCCUGCGAAGGUGUGCUGUGAGGCAUGCUGGAGGUAUCAGAAGUGCGAAUGCUGACAUAAGUAACGAUAAAGCGGGUGAAAAGCCCGCUCGCCGGAAGACCAAGGGUUCCUGUCCAACGUUAAUCGGGGCAGGGUGAGUCGACCCCUAAGGCGAGGCCGAAAGGCGUAGUCGAUGGGAAACAGGUUAAUAUUCCUGUACUUGGUGUUACUGCGAAGGGGGGACGGAGAAGGCUAUGUUGGCCGGGCGACGGUUGUCCCGGUUUAAGCGUGUAGGCUGGU
rnacentral:rRNA from 1 species